rnacentral:lncRNA from 1 species
AUUGUGUUUCAAACAAAGGUUUCUUUAUACUUAAACUGUUUUAUCAAACAAAUACUUCCAAACCGUUUUAUAAGCUGACAAUGAAGUCGAUCUUUUCAUAGAUAUUAAUCUUUUUCAAAGGCUUUACAAAACCUCUUUUAUGCUUUUAUAUUAUCAAAUGAAUGCCCAUAUAUGUAUAGUUAUAUAAGUAAUGUUUAAAGGACUUAGGAAGGCUAACUCACUCUAUUUCCUUUUCACUUUGUUAGUUAUAUAUCAUGUAUACAUAUGUAGACAUAAAAGUCUUCCUCAGUCAGUUAAGUACCUUUGGGUAGCAAAGGCAUACUUCAGGUUAUACAUGUACAUUGUUAGUAACUAUAAUAGGUAUAAUUAGGAGAUACCACUUACCAUUCCAAGUACAAGGAAUCACACAAGAGUCAGUUCAUUCAUGAGUCUAUACUAAUACAUAGAUACACUUACAUAUAUACACUUACAUGAUUACGCUUACAUAUAUAUGAUUACAUAGAUACACUUACAUGAAUACGUUUACAUAGAUACGCUUACAUGAAUCCUCUUACAUGGAUACGCUUAUAUGAGUCCUCUUACAUGGAUACUUUUACCUAGAUACUAUAUGAUGAGAUACUAUUACAUACUAUACAUGUAGAUUAGAUCUGUCUAUCCUAUUACAAAAGGAUAUUUUGCGGGACUAACCAUUCCUAUAACCUCUGUUAGCUAUAGAGGUAAAUGCAUAUCUACGGAUGUCUACGGUUGAUACCAUUAUAGGUAUACUUUAAGGGACUAACUAUUCCUAAACCCAACUGUUAGCAACAAAGGUAAAUGUACAUCUUCGGAUGACUAUAGUUAAUACCAUUCGGUAAUUUCUAUGUCGUGUUUAUCCUAGUACCUAUUGAUAAUACUUAAGUUAUUAGCUCAUUUCCUUUACUUUGUGAUAAAUUCACAUAAACGACGAGGUAGACUAAUACUUAUAUAGUUAUAUUAUUACCUUUAUUUUCUAACACUUUUACAUUAUCGAUGAGGUAGACUAUAGUUUUAUAAUAAUAGUUAAACAGGGAAAAACCGUCACAUUUAUAGUGAUGCGUACUUUCAAAACAUUCGGGUCUUGGUAGCAGACUACUUUCAAAACAGUCUAUGCUUGGUAGAAGACUACUUUCAAAACAGUUAGGUCUUGGUAGAAGACUACUUUUUAUACAAAUAGAAAUCAUAGGGAUUUGCUAGGGUGUUUAAACGUUUUCAACUACUUUCAAACAGUUCAUACUUAUACAAACUUUUUCAAAAUGUUUACAAGUCUUUACUUUCCAGUUUUACAAAUCAAAGACACAUUAAUACUUAUGAAUUCACCAGUUUUAUUGCUGAUACUCGCUUUCAAAAUAACUUGUAUUCUCAUAUCACAAAUAGACAGGUACAACGACCAGGUUUUGUGAAGACGGAGAAAUCAAGACUCCUAUUUUAUUUUGAUUGAUCUUUAUGUUGUCUUAUACUAUGAAAGAACACUUGUAAUUAAAAUUAUACUAUUAAUGCAAUGGAUGAUGUUGUUGCUUGUUUACUACUUUGCAUUGUUGUGAUACAUUAUAUGACGUCCUCCAGCCCAGAACGUUUCCGCCGUUCUCAGUUUUGGGGUGUGACAGAUUGGUAUCAGAGCAUUGUUUAUAGUGAAUUAAGUAUAUCAAUCCAUAAAAGAUAUACAGACUAUAAAUACAAUAGGAUUAAAAAUACUCUGACCAAGAGUUUAUACUUUUAAAUAAUAAAAUAUUUAACAAAGUAUACGUGCCUGAAUUCAUACUAAAAUCCGUGUUACAAUGACAAGAACAAAAGUAUUACGAUUGUUGAAUAUCACAGGUAAGCUCGGGGAUGUAUGGUCAGUCUUGGGAGUGGCAUAGCCUGAUCAACUAUGGUUUUCCAAGGAGUGAUUAGCACAUGCCCAAGAAUGGUUGUGAUGUGUCAACAAGUCUAAAAACUUACCAACACUACUACAAUGAGAACAUUAUAACAGAGCCUAGGUCUAAAAUACCAUAGGGGUGUUUUGUUUUACUAUAAUUACUUACUUGAGAACUAAAAAGGAUCUUCAUUACUAAUUUGAUAGUUGCUAAGUGGAUACACUAAGGUUAUAUGUAACUAGGAUGUUAAAGACUUAGAAUAUGUGAAAUUUUUGCUUUACCCCGGUUCCUUGUGAAUUCGGAGUUAAGGUCAUUUAUUCGAAGGCCUAUCCUGUUUUGAUUACAUAUGACUAGUAUGCACUUUUCAAAUAGUGAUGUAACUAAUGAAGAUUUUCUAAUAAUUAUCUAGAUAGUUCGUAUAAUAAUUAUUUCCUUACCCCAAUUCUCGCAUAGAUAACAUGGCUGGACUCCAUCCCCAUGGCAACCCGUACCUUCCGAAUGAAGGCAAUGCUAGAGGGUUUGGAGAAGAACCCGAGAAUGAUCAUCCAAUCCAUUUGAAUGAUCACCAUGCUGAAGACCUUUCGGAUGAUGAUAACUCCGAACCCGAGGUUGAGAACCUACCCCUGGUAGCUCCGAUUCCAAAUCCUAACCCUUGUCUGGCUUUUCAUGGCCCGACGCCCCCUUGGGUCGAAUGUUUGGAAGCAUGGAGCGAAGAUCAAGAUCAACCUAUGUCGUUUAAUGGAAACCGAAGCUUCUACAACGUAAAUGAAGGGAGCACAGCAGACAGUGUUCUACUAAUCCUGAUCUGUAGUGUUGCCCGAAACGAAAUUCAGGGCAGGACAACUCUACAUCGUAUCAUAGAAGUUGACACCAAUGGAGGAAUGCAUAUCCUUCGCACCAAUCACCUUGAGCAUGCUCGGGAGAGUUCUGAGAGAGACCACGAAACCCUGUUGUAAGCAUUAGCUGAAACCCGAGCCGAAGUCAUAGAGCUCCGAGUACGUCAGAGGGUAUACAAAAGAUACCUGCUUGAUAUGGAACGUCAACUAGUAGAACUAAGGGUUCACCAUAAGGGUGAGUGUCGCCAGUAGGAGAUGUUGUACUUCCUUCCUUGUUUUAAAAGAACCAUGUUCCUGUAUAUGUUUUGUGUAACUCCUUCUAUGUGACUACCUUGUACUGUAAGUACUUUAGUUAGGUCUUUAUGCUGUCAAAGACUUUUAUAUUCCAGAUGUGAUGUAAGACCUACUACCAGGUCAAUUUUUCCCAAACUUAUUACAUCUUAAACAUCGAUGAUAUUGAUAGUCGACUAACUUCCGUGUCACUCUUUGUUCAAAUACUUUCAUCAUACCUUCAUUUGAGUCGAUCUGCAACUUGCUCUCGUCAAACCUUUGGACUAUAGUAAUUUUAACUCAGGAAUCAUAUCCAAGUCUCUUUUAAUGGUUGGAUCAUAUUAUUCACCAACCUAUAACAUCUCGGCGCGAACGAUAAACGUCUUGAGACUAGUCUAUGAACUUACUUCUACUCCUUACUAAGACUGCCUCAUAGGGAUGUAGGUCAAACCUUCGUAAACAUACUUCUAUUUCGUACUAGGACUGCAUCAUAGGGAUGUAGGUCAAACAUCCGAGAACAUACUCUUACUCUUCCAUUGAACGAUCGAAGUACAUCUAGAGUCAAUAGCAGCCUUUACUACAAAUCUUAGUUCAUCGAAUAGAAUUCGUAAGAAGAAUAUUAUCAUGACCUUCCUCGCUUAUACAUUCCAGAGUUAUAUCAAACGAAGACCUGGUAGACAAUAGAAUGUGAGAUUUCUAAUUUAGUUUCUUUUCCUCGUUGGGAUGUGGGACUAGAGUAGAAUCAUACAUUUUAUUAUCCGCCCCAUCUUGAUUAUAUCAUAACGUGUAUAAGCUAAGUUUUCAUGUAUAAUAACUCCUCUCUUAACCUGAAUCAAAAUGAUACAUGUUCAACCAUAUUAGCUCACAAACUCCUUUUCUUUCGUAUUACAGAAUCAUGUCAUCAUCCAGAAAUAGUCAGUCGAACAACGAAACCCCUAUCCUUCAUAUCGACGCUGCUACAUUACAGGCCGCAGUAAUAGCUGCUGUGAUAGCUUUCCUUUCCCACAUCAACUCUGACACCGCAAAAAAGACUGGCAAAGGAGUCGACAACUCUAAUGGUUGUACCAAUCCGGAAAGCCAACAAUUGGCAACAAUCACGGACUUGCAAAGCCGAAAAACCGAGAGGAAUAAGCGAAAGCGCCAAGCCCAAAAGGAGCGCAAAGGAUCCCAAAGACUUGCUACACAACAACAACAAGUGGAAACUCCCACCAUCCCAACACCAAUCAGGCCAUACGAAGGAAAACUUCCAAAGUGUAACAAGUGUAGCUUUCAUCACAAUGGGGCUUAUCAUGAAAUGCAAUGCUGCAAUUGCUAAAAGGUAGGGCACCAUGCCCAUAGCAGUGGAGCACCAGCACGACCCAUUUCUCAAGUCCCUGGCAUUGGGAUCAGCCCCGCGCACGGUGAUGGUGGUAAAACCGAACCCCAUAAAAGAAAAUUUUCAAAGUGGAUGAAUGAGGAGGGCACCCGUGUUCACGUAAAUCUGACUCGACACCUCACUUCCACCGCCAAUGCUAGUACGAGUCAGACAUUCCACCAAUGCGACGAGAAUGGACACCUCAAAAAGGACUGUCCAAAAAUAAAGAACUCCGGCGCGGACGGAAGGAUACUAAGGAUCACUGCCAUAGGAGAAACUACUCCGGACCCCCGUUAAAGUAUCAAAGGCGUUCGUUGUAACAGACUCAUAAACUGUUUAAAACUAGUGCUACUCAAGUCUUAUCUGUUGCGAGUUCCCGUCAGUUAAGGGACCCCCGUGCUGUGUAUACUUCGCUUUUUGUAGUAUACCUUAUUCGUAGCAGCAUUCCCGUAGUACUCUAAAGUACUAGAAUUCUGUUGAAAGUUGCACUGUUGUGUUUUGUCUAUAAUGCUUUUAUGUUCAAAUCUAGUGUCUUUACAUUCAAGUACAUCCGAUAUUAUCAUACGACUUGAGUUCAUUUGAUCCUCGCAAUACCAGUUUCGUACGCACAUCUCUUUCUCCGAAAUCGCCUUUCUAGCGAAGCCGUGAUUUCAGAACUCCGAAGUACUCAUGCAUAGAGUACCUCAUGUUUCAUAGAAUUCUCGAAGAAACCACAAAAAACAUCCCCGAAGUACCACUCGUAUAGACGGAGACUGCUCAAGACUACUAGAAAUCGAAUCGUAAUGUGACCAAACUUAGAACCCAAUACGAUUCCGGUAACUAGAUCGCCCUAUGAUCUAACACCCCCCGCGCUACAAGAACUGUCAGGUCCAACCUAGCAAACUACUCAAAAAUGGAAUAAGAAGACCAAGCUCCUCACCUUUGAGGGCUCCGGUCUUAUUCAUCAAGAAGACAGACUUCAUUGGAUGCGAUCAUACCAAUGCCAAUGCACCGGAUCCCAUCAGAACUCCGCAGUUAAAAACAUGCUUAGGCGAGAGAAGUACUAUAACGCAUAACACCUUGGGAAUCCCUUGUAGCGCAUACCUCAACAGGACUUCCAUUAGAAAUCAUUACCUUCUGCUUCACAUAGAUGAGUUGGUUGAUCAACCGCAAGGAACGAAGUGCAUUUCAGAAGUGGACCCAAAAUCCGAAUAUCACCAGUUACGAGUGUUAGUGAAGGAUGUCCCAAGGACAAUCUUCCAAACUCGAUAUGGACACUAAGAGUCUGUAGUGAUACCCCUCGGAUAUGACCAAUACGCCCGUGGUAUUCAUGAACUUAAUGAAUAGGGUACACCAUUCUUACUUGGAUCAGUAUGUCAUUGUCCUUGUAAAUGACUUACUUAUCUACUCUCGUAGUAAGAAGGAAAUCAUAAAGAACAUCUACAAUGAACCAUGGAAAUGUUACGAUCAGAGAAGCUUUACGCGAAGUUCUCUAAAUACGAGUUUUAGAAUUGAAGAGUCGAAUUCCUAAGACACACUAUUAGUGAUGUGGGAAUUCUUGAGGAUCCUUCCAAACAUCAAAACUGUCAAGAAUUUGUCAGCACUGAAGACGCUUAUGGAAUUCGCCAAAUUCUUGGUCUCGCUGACCUACCGUCGUAAGUUCAUUCAGAACUCCUCGCGAAUUACGGAACCUCUUACGACUUUGACUCAGAAGGGAUUAGCCCUUGACUGAGAAGAGAAGCAAGAGGGAGAAACCUAGGAAUCCCAAGUGAGACAAAAUCCUUUUGGAAGCCUCACUCUAGAAGGCUUGAUAUGCUUCAGAAAGCGUGGACAGCUAAAUCCAAGAGAGUUAGGACCUCCGAUAUUCUUACCCAAAUCGGCCCUGUAACUCGCAAAUCCAACCUACAUUGCAAACUCAGUAAAGUACAUUUCUCCCUUCACGUCUCAAACUUGAAAAACGUACCUUUCCAUCAGGAAUCUCGUAAUCCCACUCGAUGAGAUCGAGAUCAAUGAGAGCCUCGCCUUCGUGGAAGAACCAUUGAAAUCAAGGACCGAGAGGUCAGGCGAACAAUACAAAGACGUCUCUCAUUAGUGAAGCUUCGCUGGAAUGCCAACCGGGGACCUGAAUUCACUUGGGAGCACGAGAAUCAAUCGAUUAGGAAGUAUACCCACCUCCUUGCUCGAUUAGUCAUGCCUACUCUUUACCUAAAUUCUAAUUUUGGGACGAAAUUCCCUCUAACAGGGGGAUGAUGUGACAACCCGAAAUUUUCUACUCUGUACAACCUUUGACUUCAAUAGAAGUCAGAACAGCUUCUGCUAAUUUUCAAGCUUUUGGAAUAAGUUUGAGUGGUUUAAAGUUAGUACUUCAAGAGAUAACUGGAGAGAGGAUGCCCUAGUGUUUAUUGUAUAUCAAAUAGUUUCCAAAAACCCCAAGAGUUUAGAGUUUACGGCCCAAAAUGGCAUUAGGGCCGUAAACCCUAAAGGCUAUAUAAGUAAGACUUAGCCAUUUUUAGUUCAUCUCUUCCAUUUGAACUAGAGAAAACCCGAUUUCUCUCCCAAGGAUCUUCAAUCGUUCGUCGCAAAUUGUAAGUACUACAACCUUGGAUUGUAUUAAAGUGUAUUACAUGCCUAGAUAUCAUUGAAAUCCUCCAAAAUCACAAGGACAAGGUGUUUACGGCCCAAGAUCUUCUUGGACCGUAAACACUAAAUAUGGUGCCAAAGUGUGCCCUAUGUCCUUACAAACCUUGGAAACAAACCUAGAACCUUCCCUUGAUGCGUUUAGCACAUAAAAAUCACCAAAAUACCCUAUUUAUAUGUGUUUACGGUUUGGGGAUCUCCCAAAACCGUAAACACCCCAAAGUGGGUUAUGAUGCCCCAUAUUCCUUCCUUAUGCCUAGAAACUAGCCUAGACUUUUACCUUGAAGUGUUUAGGACUCGAAAACAUCAAAAUACCAUGGUCCAUAGGAUUUUACGGCAGCAAACACAUGGAGAAAUGGUCCAUGGGCCAUAAACUCCAUUUAGGAGUGAAUUGUUGCCCUAAUCACUUCCUAAGGCUUAGACUUGAAGUUAGAAUGCUUCAAAAUGACUUCUAGGAAUUCAAAGCACACAAUGGUCAAAAGGACAUGAGUUUACGGCCGUAAACUCAUGGGUUUACGACCGUAAACUCAAUUGGAGUUGGUCCCAAAACCGUAAAGACCAUUUAGUGCCUUUUCACUUCCCUUUGUUGAAUCACAUGUGAUUCCAACACUUAACCAAGGUGUUUCCUAGUCCCGGAAGGGUUUUCUUUCAUAUAGUUGUUUAUAAACACUAUAUUCAUGUCAAUAUGUGUCCUUAUAUGUCGUUUAGGACUUAUUGUGUCACGAGACUUCAUUCGUGGAACUUCUCAUCCGUACGCGCAUACCCGUUUGAAUCACCCACAUCAGGUGAGUUCAUACCCAUUGAAUUAACUUUUUAAAUGUUUCUAAAUGUUUUUAAAUGCUUUAGGGGGGGAUACAAUCUGAAUCAUGCUAGUUAUUAUAUCAAUCACAUGUGAUUAAUAACUAACAUGCAAAUGGAUUUACUAUACGUUAACUGUUUCACCAAACAGAUUUCUUCUAAUGUUUUCUUAAAUGUUUUAUAUGUUUAAAACUCUUUAUUAAACUGUUUAUUAUACACUGUAUGUUUCAUUUCAAACUCUUUUACAAUUGUGUUUCAAACAAUGGUUUCUUUAUACUUAAACUAUUUUUAUCAAACAAAUACUUCCAAACCGUUUUAUAAGCUAACAAUCAAGUCAAUCUUUUCAUAGAUAUUAAUUUUUUUGAAAGGCUUUAUAAAACUUCUUUUAUGCUUUUAUAUUAUCAAAUGAAUGACCAUAUAUGUAUAGUUAUAUAAGUAAUGUUUAAAGGACUUAGGAAGGCUAACUCACUAUAUUUCCUUUUCCUCGUUGGGAUGUGGUUAUGGGGUAUCGGUUAUCGGUCCGAAUGUCGUCUAAAUAUUAGUUAUAUAUCAUGUAUACAUAUGUAGGCAUAAAAGUCUUCCUCAGUCAGUUAAGUACCUUUGGGUAGCAAAUGCAUACUUCAGGUUAUACAUGUACAUUGUUAGUAACUAUAAUAGGUAUAGUUAGGAGAUACUACUUACCAUUCCAAGUACAAGGAAUCACACAAGAGUCAGUUCAUUCAUGAGUGUAUACUAAUACAUAGAUACACUUACAUAUAUACACAUACAUGAUUACGCUUACUUAUAUACGAUUACAUAGAUACGCUUACAUGAGUACGUUUACAUAGAUAUGCUUACAUGAAUACGUUUACAUAGAUACGCUUACAUGAAUCCUCUUACAUGGAUACGCUUACAUGAGUCCUCUUACAUGGAUACUUUUACCUAGAUACUAUAUGAUGAGAUACUAUUACAUACUAUACAUGUAGAUUAGAUCUGUCUAUCCUAUUACAAAAGGAUAUUUUGCGGGACUAACCAUUCCUAUAACCUCUAUUAGCUAUAGAGGUAAAUGCAUAUCU